rnacentral:rRNA from 1 species
UACGGGGGGGGUAAGCGUUGUUCGGAAUUACUGGGCGUAAAGGGCUCGUAGGCGGCCAACUAAGUCGGACGUGAAAUCCCUCAGCUUAACUGGGGAACUGCGUCUGAUACUGGAUGGCUUGGAUUUGGGAGAGGGAUGCGGAAUUCCAGGUGUAGCGGUGAAAUGCGUAGAUAUCUGGAGGAACACCGGUGGCGAAGGCGGCAUCCUGGACCAAUACUGACGCUGAGGAGCGAAAGCCAGGGGAGCAAACGGG